GUGUGUGUGUGUGUGUGUGUGUGUGUGUGUGUGUGUGUGUGUGUGUGUUUUAUUUAAAAAAAAGGGGGUAAGUACUAGUUCAAGUCUUUCAGGAAGAUGUAGGUCUUCAGCAUUGAAGAUGAUUCGACUGUUCGGACAUCUAGGGGAAGUUCAUUCCACCACCUCGGUGCUCUAUACUCUACACACACAGUUCAAUCUAACGAGCUUUCAAGACAGAGGCUGAUCUGUUCAAACUGCCCUUAUCUGCAGCCACAGAUGGUAUUUCGGUUUGACCAACUCGCCCGUGUCUUCAUAGCUGGAGCCCUGACUGGCUGUGAUAUCAACAAGGAACGGUGACUCUAGAUGUCUACAUAAUGUCUUUCAUGACUUUAUUUUCCACUGGCCAGUGGGUCACUGGGUGAUCCUAUCUGCUUCCAACAUCUUGAGUGGCCACUUCCUUCACCAGCCAAAUCUUUUUUUAAAUAAUACAGGAAACAAUCAUCACAUUUCCAGACCCACCUCCUAUCUUAACCUAUAUUUCUUACACCUUUAGUACAGUCAUGUUACCAGUUUUAUGCCGAGGAUGUAACAACCAUUAUUCAUAUGGAUCCUUCUACAAUUUGACCUAAAGCUUACUAUGUUAUAAUGAUCAGACAAGCUUUACUCAAGUCAGAUGUAUUCUUUGUUAAUUAAAAAAUAAGACAUUUUAUUAUUUAUUAGGUUUGCACAUAUUGCACACUUCUACAGAUUUUUUAUUACCUAACUCCUGAUUGCUCAUUAUAGUCAUUUCUUUGUUUCACUUCCUGUGUUUUUUUCCCCUCUUUGGAUCAUGCUGUUUCUUCUUUUAUAAAAAUCUAAAAUUUUGUAGAUGUCUGAGUGAGAACAUCAUUUUUUUAUGUAGAGCAUUUAAUUUCAUUACUUUUGAGGGCAUUUACUAUGCUUUACAGACUCCCACACAGUGCAGUAGGUAUAUUUCAUUAAAUAAUAUGUGACAGCUGACACACACAGACAAGCAGCUUUACACUUUCUGGAUAAAACACACACAUGGAUGUGAACCAAUCUGUAGUGAUUAAUUGACUAUAAUGACUAGUCAUUUGUAAUCCAAAUGAAAGGAUGUGAAAAGAGCAGAGCUGGACAGUUGUCAUCUCUUGACCCUCUGAACUUCUAGAAAUGCCUGUUGUUGUGCAAUAAAAUAGAAAAAGCUAAAUCGCAGAGCCGACUUGCAGUAAGAAUGUGGAAAUACCAGUGAAUUGAUGAAAUACCAGUGAAUUUUGUUUAUUCUAAUGCCCAUGCACAGAACACCUCCCCACUUAUAAUACUGUAUAUGUACUGUACACACAUCUU